AGGUUAGUAUAUUAUACAUUACUCUAUUUUCUAGAUUUGUACAUAUUAAAUAUUAAAUAUGAAGAAUUGAGAAAAUGCAGAAGGAUUGUAAAGCAAGAGAUUUUUCAAUUGACGGAAGAUGUAGACAGAUGUAAGUACUAUAAAUUCCGGACGAAUAACGGCACCGUUUCUAGUGAAUGUAAAGGUAGGCAAGUAUUCCUUAUCUAGUAUUUUACAGCCUCGUCUUAUUCGUGUUUCUUUUUUCCUUUUUAUAAGUGAAAAUAACGGAUUGGCCAUAAUUAUGUCGGAACAUAAUCGGACACGUAACAUUUUAAAAUGCAACGUGUUACGUUAAUUGCAAUUAGUGGACUCGUUUAAUCGUAUCUAGUCGGACUUGGUUUGUGUAAAAAUGUUAUUAGAGAAACGCAAGCAAGAUACGAUAUCUCUCAUUAAUAAAAUCUGUCUGGAGAUUCUUUGUUGUCUAAAUUUCGUAUUACACGCCAGUAACUAAUGCGUUACGAAGCGGAAGCUAAAGCUUGCUACUUCCGGUUCGCGUUUCUUUCCAUUUCCUUUCUGGUCACAUAUCCUCCUCUGUGAAUUCUUACUGAAACGUCGGCAUUUUUAUGAACCAGGAUUCUCAUUCCCAGUUUAAUCUCACAAAUUAUAUUUGCUUUAACUAAACAAAUUUAUAAAUUUACGAAUUUAUAAAAUUCUUCUACUCUACUACGCUAUAUUUAUGUAUUCUACCAAAUUUUAAGAAUUAAAAAAAUUCAUAAACAAUAAAUAAAUUCAUAAUAAAAGUACUUCGUCAUAAACUGUUUUGCAAAGUAUUUGUAUGUAUUACGUAUAUAUAUUCAUGAAACGUAAAUAAUAAAAUGGUUUUAAUGUAUGUUGAAAUAUAAUUAAUAAUCCAUGCACGUUCCGUCGUAAGAAACUUGACAGAAAGACUCGUCAUAUGUUCAUACAUCGAAUCCGGCACUCACGGUUCUUUUACAUUUUACAGUUGUUGGAGCAGUGAUGCACAAUCGACAAUACUUCGCAUUCACGGUACCUAAGCGAUCUCAAAAUCUUAAAAAUCGCAUGGUUAUUUUCGUGUACAAGACUUGUCCUGUUCACUAUGUGCAAUAUUAUAGCAAAAUGAAGUAUAUUCGCAAAUGAAUACAGUUUCGCAUGUUUGACCGGCAGGAGUGUACAAUUAAAAAAGCUUGUGCACCACUGAAGCUAGAAUGACUCAUAUUCGUCGGGCUCUCCCUACCAUUUCUUUCUGUGUUUUCGCUUCCACUUCGUUUUUUCCCUAUUUACGUCGCUUAUAUUCGUUACUUUUAGGCAUUUCAACGACUGUUUUGAACAGACGAAAAUAUCACUAGCCAAGAAGAUUGUACAUUGUACUUUUACAUCGAAACUUGUACUUCAGAAGAAACUUGUACAUUUCAUGAAGCGGACUCACUGGUUCAAAGUCGCAAAACCUUUAUCAGUACUUGAAACUGUUAUGACUAUGACACAAUGCUUCUUGGAGUUCCAUUAUCGUUUGAGAGAAAUCAACAUUAUUUAUAUUUCAAAGAGCAAGUUGCGUUAAAUGUGUUACAUAAAAGUUUUGGACCUACUAUAUUUUUUACAAGCAUAUUUUUAAAAAAUCAAGAAACAAAUUUCACUCUCUGGCAAAAUCUAACAUGGAAGUACUUUCUAAUGAAGAACAGUACUCAAUCUAUCUUGAGAAGCUAUUUCUUUCAAAAUUUCUUAUGAUUAUAUUCGUUCUAAAAUUAGUUGAAUAUAGUCUAGCGCUGUAACAGGCAAUAAGAAAUAUACACAAGUGCGAUAAGACAAAAAGAACAGAAUGGAAGAAAUUACAGAUUCAAGAAGGAUGAGAAGGCACAGAUAUAGCGUACAUCAGUGGCUCCAAGAGAACGUUUCAAGGGAUACGUUCCAACGGUGGGUCAGCAUCGACAAGGCUGUGUAUAGGUCCUUAUAUGGUAGCUAGCCGUAUGGCUGUAUAUAGAGAGAGCUCGAAAGAGGCUGAAUACGCAACUGUGAAACACAUUCGUGUCCUUUACGUAUCCGCUUGUUGAAUAUUUCUUCUCUCCCUAUCAUCGGUACACGUGUAGGAGUCUUGCAUCGAGUGCACGCAUACGAAAGCACCCACUGGUCUGCGUUAUGCGUAACGGUAACAAAAGAAGAGGAGAUUACUUUAGUUGUACGGUUAGCACGUUUGAGUAUGUCCAAUACAUACGAAUUAAUCUUCUCAAGGCCAGUUUCAUUUUUCAAAAUUGUAUAUAACUUUAUGAAAAGAAACAAGCCUUUAUACAUAAUAAAGAAUCUCAUAGUAAUGCCAAAAUUAAUGUAGUCUUAUUCAAAUGCUUGAUACCGUACGAUUUCGCGGCAUGUUACAACGUUAAGUCGGUCGAUUUCACAAAAGUCAAGAAAGCAACGGUAGUUCUCGAUGAUUCUAAAAGAUGUAUCUCAUUUGAUUUUAUCACGAUACAACGAGGGGGAAGAGGAGAGCUAAAAACGGCUUCAGUACGCCAGUGUCCGAAGAGAAAUCACGAUAAAUCCUACUUGAUCUCGCGAGGAGAAAAGAGGUCUGCAAGUUAAUAAGGAAACUAGGUUGCUCGCACCGACGCGCUAGCCGGUUUGCAGGACGCGUCGGUGUACGCUACGCUUCGACGAGCCAUGCUCAUCGCGAGAUUGAACACAUCUAUGAGACUCACGUUUAACUGGGUAUCUUGAAAUCUCUGUACUAUAAUUACCAUGAAGAACGUUUAGUACUUUGUCAUAAACAACAGUAAUUAUUCGAAUUUUGACGUCAUUCAUACAUAUCUUGUACAUUGAACGUUUAUAAUAUAUAUUUUUAGUUGAAGAAGAUAUGAACAGCUGCAAACGGAUCGCGCGCAUUAUUCAUAACUUCUACGUAAGUCUGGUGAACGGACCGGCGUGUGUCUGGAACCGAUCGACUGUAAACGCAUCCGGUGGAAUCGAUAAGAUCAGUUAAUCGUCCAAAGGUUUCUGGGCAGACAUUGUCGUGGGUUCGUGGUAAAGAGAGAUCUUACGGCUGACGGCUAACGAGUUCGCGCGGCCUGCCAAUUAACUUGGUUGUAAGAAAAGCAAGAAUUCGCCGAUGAAAGCCACGUCAUACAUUAAAUUAUACCGCUAUUUCGACGCAGUAACCGAUGCGGAAGGAAUCCUCUUCAGCGGUCAAGAUUUCGUGAACGAGUACCAAGAUUGCUUUCGUCAUUACGCUUCUGCAUGACAAGCGACAUCCCGAUUGUGAUACUUGACGAAUAAGGGGUGAUACAGUCGUGUUCAGAAGGCACUCUUUUCGUCAGGAACGUACGAUAAAUCUUCUACCAUUUGUUUAAUAAAUUAACGAUAUAUUACAAAAAUUUUUUUAAAGGAAAUCAUAACACUUUAUAUAUGUUCUAACAUCAAGCUUUUUAAUAUUUUCUUUUUAUUAAUCAUCCCAUUAUAUUCUAGAUUUAACUGUAGAUUGUGUUUUAAGUUCUAGUCCAGAAUCGACCUUGAGUAUGCUCGAAGAAGUCUUAGGAUAUUUCUCUUCCGGAACGUGAAUGAAAUAGCGGUGCGCGCGCGCCCCUUUGGGGCUGUCGUGUAAAUAUAUACGUGUCGGUUUUAUACAUGUGGGGUUGCAUCGGGGGAGCGGUCGACUGGUGGCAGACGGUUUCAUCGAUUGGCAAUGCGGGGGUCGAAGAGUGGGGUAUCUGAACUCUUCACAGCUAUCUAUGCGUACUACAUAACGUAUCGACGACCUCGGCUUUCAUGGUCAAUGGUAAAAAGAAAUCUAGCUCCCGACGAAAGGCAGUAAAUACUUGCAAUUACAAGGACAAAAGCGUGCUUGCCAGUCGGCAACCAGAAGCGCAUUUGUGUGUCUGAUGCGCGGCGGAGUGCAUCUGUCAAAACCACGCCCUUAUCCCAUCCUAUCAUCCUAACGGACUCACAAGAGCCCAGCGAUAAGUACUUACUUACUUAAUGGCCAAUGCUUCCGAAAUUCGUAUGACUCAUUUAUCCCAAGCUUAAUUAUUAUUUCAAAUGUUUACCGGCAUAUACAAAAAUAUAUUUCUAAGGAUUAUAAAGUGUGUAAAACACGAAGGGUGGUAAUAAUAAUAUUUCUUAUUUUAGAUAUUCAAAUAUCGUAAAAGUAUAAUAGUAAUUUAUACAAGACGCUACGAUAUAAUAUUUUAAACGCCUGUUAUAUAAAAGAAAAAAAAAAUGAAAAAUUUAUUGUUUCGUAUCAACGAUUCAGAUUCGUAGGUGUACAGAACGCGUAUGGAGAUUUGACCACACCCCUCCAUUUUCGAUCGGCGAAUAAUGAAGACGAUCGAUAUCCUCAAAAGUAUAUUAUCCUUAUGGCGAUUUCCAAGUUCAGGCGCAGGAAGGAUGACUCGAGUGACUAACCGAUACCGAUCGUCUUCGACCAGUUUUCGUCUUAUUAAAAAACAUGCAAGUAUACACACACGAUAUACGAUACCGCCUUUCUUCGAACGGCAACGAAGAAAGCCGGUUCGCUUUGAUACGUCAACGAAAAUAUCACCGUAUGCUUUUUUAUACACUUGAAAGCGCAUGCAAUUUAGAUGAUCGUAGAUAGAAUGCAUCGGCGGCAAAGA